GACGAACGCUGGCGGCGUGCUUAACACAUGCAAGUCGAACGGAAAGGCCCUGCUUUUGUGGGGUGCUCGAGUGGCGAACGGGUGAGUAACACGUGAGUAACCUGCCCUUGACUUUGGGAUAACUUCAGGAAACUGGGGCUAAUACCGGAUAGGAGCUCCUGCUGCAUGGUGGGGGUUGGAAAGUUUCGGCGGUUGGGGAUGGACUCGCGGCUUAUCAGCUUGUUGGUGGGGUAGUGGCUUACCAAGGCUUUGACGGGUAGCCGGCCUGGGAGGGUGACCGGCCACAUUGGACUGGGGUACGGGCCAGGACUCAACGGGAGGCAGCAGUGGGGAAUAUUGCACAAUGGGCGGAAGCCUGAUGCAGCAACGCCGCGUGCGGGAUGACGGCCUUCGGGUUGUAAACCGCUUUCGCCUGUGACGAAGCGUGAGUGACGGUAAUGGGUAAAGAAGCACCGGCUAACUACGUG
rnacentral:rRNA from 1 species